AUGGCACCCAAGCGCCCUGUUGCCUCGCUUCCGAUCGCCAUGGCCGAGGCGAGCCGGAGCUCUCCUCCGGCAUACGAGCUCCAACGCCGGCCCCUUCUUCCUCCACGACCCUGUUCCCGCUGCGAUCCAAGGCCGGAGACGCCAAGUUCCUCGGCGUCCUCUUCCUCUGCUUCAUCUCCUUCACGGUUCAGAGGAACGCCAAGUUCCUCCUCGUCGUCUUCAUCUUCUUCAUCUACGGCAGGUGCUCGUCGCCGGUCAACUUCGUCGCAUUCCAUCGUCCCCGAGCUCGAUCGACUCCUCCGAGCCCCUCUAUUUGCAGGUACAGGUUAUGCGAUGAUCAUGACGCGAGAGCGAUGUUUAUAG
rnacentral:rRNA from 1 species